UACGUAGGGCGCAAGCGUUGUCCGGAAUUAUUGGGCGUAAAGAGCUCGUAGGCGGCUUGUCACGUCGGGGUGUGAAAGCCCGGGGCUUAACCCCGAGUCUGCAUUCGAUACGGGCAGGCUAGAGUGUGGUAGGGGAGAUCGGAAUUCCUGGUGUAGCGGUGAAAUGCGCAGAUAUCAGGAGGAACACCGGUGGCGAAGGCGGAUCUCUGGGCCAUUACUGACGCUGAGGAGCGAAAGCGUGGGGAGCGAACAGG
rnacentral:rRNA from 1 species